UACGGAGGGGUUAGCGUUGUUCGGAAUUACUGGGCGUAAAGCGCGCGUAGGCGGAUUAGUCAGUUAGAGGUGAAAUACCCACGGGCUCAACCCUGGAACUGCCUUUAAUACUGCUAGUCUUGAGUUCGAGAGAGGUGAGUGGAAUUCCGAGUGUAGAGGUGAAAUUCGUAGAUAUUCGGAGGAACACCACGUGGCGAAGGCGGCUCACUGGCUCGAUACUGACGCUGAGGUGCGAAAGUGUGGGGAGCAAACAGGAUUAGAUACCCUCGGUAG
rnacentral:rRNA from 1 species